GGCGAACGCUGGCGGCGUGCUUAACACAUGCAAGUCGAACGGAAAGGCCCUGCUUGCAGGGUACUCGAGUGGCGAACGGGUGAGUAACACGUGGGUGAUCUGCCCUGCACUUCGGGAUAAGCCUGGGAAACUGGGUCUAAUACCGGAUAGGAGCCAUUUUUAGUGUGAUGGUUGGAAAGUUUUUUCGGUGUAGGAUGAGCUCGCGGCCUAUCAGCUUGUUGGUGGGGUAAUGGCCUACCAAGGCGGCGACGGGUAGCCGGCCUGAGAGGGUGGACGGCCACAUUGGGACUGAGAUACGGCCCAGACUCCUACGGGAGGCAGCAGUGGGGAAUAUUGCACAAUGGGCGCAAGCCUGAUGCAGCGACGCCGCGUGGGGGAUGACGGCCUUCGGGUUGUAAACUCCUUUCGCUAGGGACGAAGCUUUUUGUGACGGUACCUAGAUAAGAAGCACCGGCUAACUACGUG
rnacentral:rRNA from 1 species